AUGCACGCUGGCGGCGUGCUUCACCCCUGCCAGUCGCACGGGAAACCUUUUAAUGAAGCUUCGGCAGAUUUAGCUGGUUUCUAGUGGCGGACGGGUGAGUAACGCGUGGGUAACCUGCCUUAUACAGGGGGAUAACAGUCAGAAAUGACUGCUAAUACCGCAUAAGCGCACAGGACCGCAUGGUCCGGUGUGAAAAACUCCGUUGGUAUAAGAUGGACCCGCGUUGGAUUAGCUUGUUGGUGGGGUAACGGCUCACCAAGGCGACGAUCCAUAGCCGGCCUGGGAGGGUGAUCGGACACAUUGGGACUGAGACACGGCACAGACUCCUACGGGAGGCAGCAGUGGGGAAUAGUGCACAAUGGGGGAAACCCUGAUGCAGCGACGCCGCGUGAAGGAAGAAGUAUCUCGGUAUGUAAUCUUCUAUCAGCAGGGCAGAUAGUGACGGUACCUGACUAAGAAGCCCCGGCUAACUACGUG
rnacentral:rRNA from 1 species